GUCCCGGUGGCGCAAUGGAUAGCGCGUCGGACUUCUAAUAUCGAGGUUGGUGUGAGUUCGUGUCCCACUCGGGAUC
rnacentral:tRNA from 1 species